UACAACUAUAUCGCCUUGAAACACCGGUUGUCGUUCGAUCACCGAAGUUAAGCAAGGUCGAGCCAGAUCAGUUCCUAGAUGGGUGAGAGCUUGGGUACUCCGAGUGCUGCAAU